UACGUAGGGUGCGAGCGUGUCCGGAAUUAUUGGGCGUAAAGAGCUCGUAGGCGGUGUGUCACGUCGGCCGUGAAAACCUGCAGCUUAACUGUGGGCGUGCGGUCGAUACGGGCAUCACUGGAGUUCGGCAGGGGAGACUGGAAUUCCUGGUGUAGCGGUGAAAUGCGCAGAUACCAGGAGGAACACCGGUGGCGAAGGCGGGUCUCUGGGCCGAUACUGACGCUGAGGAGCGAAAGCGUGGGGAGCAAACAGGAUAGAU
rnacentral:rRNA from 1 species